rnacentral:misc_RNA from 1 species
GCACUUUUGUUUUUAUGUUUUAUUGAAAUACUGAAAAUGAAAAAUACAACUGAAGUACGUAGGAAACACAAGAGGUCAUAUUUGAAAGUUGUGGAAAUUCUUCAACGGUUGUUAUGGCAUUGUCAAGGAAGCUGGCUAAAUGUCAAUCAAACUAGCAUUUCGCAUGGCAUAGUUUUUAAUUUUUUGGAAAAAAAAAAUCUCAAUUAUGUUGUAAAUUUUAGGAUAUGUUAAAGAAAGAACUGAAUACACUAUGCAAUACCAGAUUAGAAGGGAAGAAAUUUUGAAUCAUGUCAUCAAUUUUAAGGAUUUUAUAUACUGAGAAGAAAUGUAAUGAAAUUGUUAUAAAGGGGAAAACAGUGAUUGUAUGAGGGAAGAGUUAUUUAUUGAAACAAGAAAACUUAAGUUGUGUUGUUUGAAGAUUAUUAAAACUGAUAAUGCAGG